rnacentral:rRNA from 1 species
GACGAACGCUGGCGGCGUGCUUAACACAUGCAAGUCGAACGGAAAGGCCCUGCUUUUGUGGGGUGCUCGAGUGGCGAACGGGUGAGUAACACGUGAGUAACCUGCCCUUGACUUUGGGAUAACUUCAGGAAACUGGGGCUAAUACCGGAUAGGAGCUCCUGCUGCAUGGUGGGGGUUGGAAAGUUUCGGCGGUUGGGGAUCGACUCGCGGCUUAUCAGCUUGUUGGUGGGGUAGUGGCUUACCAAGGCUUUGACGGGUAGCCGGCCUGAGAGGGUGGCCGGCCACAUUGGGACUGAGAUACGGCCCAGACUCCUACGGGAGGCAGCAGUGGGGAAUAUUGCACAAUGGGCGGAAGCCUGAUGCAGCAACGCCGCGUGCGGGAUGACGGCCUUCGGGUUGUAAACCGCUUUCGCCUGUGACGAAGCGUGAGUGACGGUAAUGGGUAAAGAAGCACCGGCUAACUACGUG